UACCGACCCUCCCUAGUAUUUAGGUGUUGCGUACCUUGCGGCGUUCCUAAACCCUGAGUUCCACGAACCCUUCAUGCCAUCACAACCAUCGCCAGUGGGGUGAAAUUGGGAGAGAGGGAGAAGAGGUCGCCGCCGCACCGAUUCCUUGGAUCACCGUCGUCUGGACUACCAGAAAGGUGCGAUUGGCUAGCGCGGUGGUGCGUAGAUUGUCUGUGAGCCAACCUCUUGGCGCGGGGUCAUCGGGACUCCACUAAAUUCGUCGCCGGAAUAUCCUACGCUACUACCCCGGGCGGGCGGAUGUGGACAACCCACCUGGACACCCAUAUGGCUGGUACGUCUUCAACCAUCGUAUACCUAGCUUGCUCCGCAAUCGAUUACGAGUAUCGUGGGUUGGAAUCUUGGGCUGGUUCGCGGAAUUGUAUCUCCACGGCGGGUGUGGAAAGGGCGGCGCCGCCGCAUACAAUCGGGGGGGGGGGGGGGGGGGGGGGGGGAUUGAAGAUGAAAUCGUGUGCCGCUGAUUCCGGGAUGGACGACCGGAUUAGAUCUAAACAUUCCUCCGCGGUGCAACUCGAUCGGGACCGUUGUUCUGACCGGACGGCUCGGGGUAAGCAAAACCUCGUAAAAUCCGAACCAUUGAACUCCGAUCGAGGGUGGUGAUAACAUACCGAUUCGUACGCGUCUGAAUUUAAUCCAAACCGCAAGAUUUAGAUUGGAUGGCUCCUAAUACUCAAUACCCCUUUGUCGAGCCCGUUUUGCUAAAUAGACCCUAGGAAUAGAAGUAUUCAACCCGUCGUCCGCUGCUGUUGUUCACUGUGUCUGGGAAAUCUUCUGGAUUAGCCCCUGCACUUUUCGAGAAUUGACGCGCAGUCCAGUUAAUAAAGAAAAUAGGAAGAAGAUUUAGAAAUUGAUUUUUAAGUAUAAAAAUAAUUGCAGAACUUGUAUAAAUCGUAGAAAAUUCACAUUUAAUCAUUUUUGAUCCAUUCCAGUGGCAUUAUUUUUGUAAUAAUAUUGUAUAUCAAUUAGCUCUAUUUAAUCAUGAAAUUUGAAUUAAAAUUAUGCACUUGAAUUGUUCUAUUCCAAGUACUAAAUAACUUCAUAAAUGCAUAACUUAAUAACCGUAGAUCCGAAUUUAGUGAUUCUUAUUCCUACGAUCUCGUUACGCAACGUAGGAUAUUAUCAUGCAUUCUGUUCUGUUGUUUGGUGUGAUGUUAAUUUUGCUAUACCAUGUUUGUUUGGAUUGUUGCGAGUAGAUGAGUCGGCUACUGAGGAUCCAGGGGUUCAGCAGGUGGAGACUGCUGAGCAGGAGCUCGUUAAAGGCAAGUUAUGCCCUUAAUCACUUCUUUUUACCCAGUCAUGUUCUUAUUAAUCAUAAUGAUCUGUAUAGGUUAAUUUUGGUGGGACCCAAUAGGAUACCAUAGUUUUGGCUAUAUUUAUACCUUGUUUUACCACUGAAUUUUUUGGGUAGUACUUGGUAUUGCUUUAUGUGGUUUUGGGGAUGGAGAUAUACAUUAUUCAUUUUCACAUUUUUAUUAUCAGUGUAUUAAUUACUGUUCAUGAUAAGGUCAUUAUGUUAAUUGGAACAUGGAGAACCACGCGGGAAAACAAUGCUACCACAAGGGUGCUAUAGGACACCCUUGGCUGACUAAAUAGGAAAGCUAGUGGAGGACUACCUUACCCGAUAGGGGCAUCUUAACUUCCGUAUACAGAUAUUAUAACCAUGGUGGGCGUCAAUGUUGGUCACAUGCUUUUGAUUCUUGAAAGAUAUAAAAAACAAGGCAACACAAAUGAAAAGAUUCUCUCUUCACGCAUUUGUUAACUUUGAAAGAUUAACAAAUGAAAGGUGACAAAGGAUAAUAAUAAUAAUAGAUAAGGAAAUUCAAUCGAUAUUAACUCAUUCUUCGUUAUCCCAAAUUGUAUAUUACAAGAGUCAUUUACAUUUGUACCUUCGUUCUUACAAAACCAAAUAUGAAGGUAUGGACGAAAUAGCUUCGAAGUCUAAGCGAUAGGGUUAUCUCGUAGACGCAAAAAACACCCUUAUGUGUGGCACUGUACCCCUAUUUAUAGUGGCAAGUUACGACUUCUUAUGAAUUUAAAAAUAUGUUCACAAAUUCUAUACAUAUGAGCUACAAAUCUUGUGAGGUUAAUAUAUAUCAACUUUUCCUCUCUCGCGACGUGCCAAUCAACCUUCUAGAAUCUUCUCGUCUCCUUAUGUUUCGUGUGUUCACGCUUCAGAGACAAAGCUGAAGUCUUUUAGCUUCGUCGCUUCCUUAUAUGUUGGUGCAGACGAAGGUAGAGCCUGCUACCUGUAGAUGAUACUAGAAGCAUGUUUAACUAUUAGCAUAAUGUUUCGAGGACCUUCGGCAAUCGAGGCACCCAACAGGGUUUAUAAAGGUAUGGGUUCAAAAGAAGCUCUCAGCAUCUUUUUAUAUCUUGCUCGGUCAUUCGUCCUCCUUUAGUUAACAGGGUGGAACUAUAUAGGAGCGCGUGCGGCUUUGCGUUGUUUUGGUUUUAGAUAGUUUCUCACGGGCCAUCUAUAUAUAGGGUGGUAACGAUCAACUAAUAGAGGUUUGGAUGGCUUUGACAGCUUACCUCUUGGGUAACAGUCUAUUGGCAGGAAUAGACAACGCAGGAUGUUUGUCGAAACUAUUGUUUUAUAGUCGUUGGAUGUUUUGACAGCUUACCUCUUGGGUAACAGUCCAUUAGUAGGAAUAGACAGCGCAAGAUGUCUGUCGGAACUGUUGUUUUAUAGUUGUAAGAAAGAGAUAGACCCACUGUUCACUAUUUGUCACCUUAGCCCCUCCCCUCUCCCCCCAAAAAAACGUGCGAGUUGCUACCAGCCGUGUCAGCGAACCUACGAAUAACUGGUCUUUGCGACAAUAGUAGUGAAGAUGGAUGACAAGAAAUAGGGAAAGACCAUUGCUAAAUACAGGAGGUUUGUUUGCAAUUAACAAAUUUUAGUACGUGGUGAACUUUCUUUACGCCACUAGAACUGAGUGGGCACGUGGACAACUCGACAUCCUCUCCGUACACAGCACUGUGGAGAGGUCACGAAAGAUUGCAGGAGCUGUGAGCCGGCCGUUUUCUAAGAUGCGUACGCGUCAGAAGCUGCACCAGCACAGCCGGUUGAGGAGGACUCGAGAACUUGUUCCUUUUUUUUGUGUUCAGAAUAACGGAGUACCACGGAACGACAGGGGAUAACUUGUUCCUUUUUUUGUGUGUGUGAUCAGAAUCGUAUCUUUUGUUUCUCCCAGUAGUAAACGAUACGAAUUUUGAUUUUGGUGCGGCUUCGUUACGUUAUUACCGUACCCAUCAAACCAAAAGGAAAAAAAGAAGGGAGCUUAUUAUUUGUUGUAUUUUUAUUGAUGGUGAUCUCGAGCGGUCCAAUUGGUUCGGCAGGUCGCUCACUUUUGUCCGGUUGCGCCCGGCGCCACAUGCUCUCACAUCACAUGUGCUGCCCUGCAAAAGAGCGCUGCUUCUGCUCGUCCGUCGACUAGCGCACGGUUACUUGGAAGUUGGAACGCGCGCGACCAGGACCGUGAGCGCCUAGUCCCUCCCCACAGGUACGGCAUCGGACGCAGGACGCCAUCACACGCACCACAGUGCAACCGCUAGCUGUCGUCAGGCAUGGCGAUGAGGAGGCUCAUUGCUUAAUUUUUUGUCAAUUUCGGUUUAUUUUGCUAUAAUUGAUAUUAAUUACUUAGCAUUAGUAUCGGUUCCAAACAAAAAUCGAUACAAAGAGUGAGAUUUAGUACCGGUUUUGUGUAAGAAUUUACUAAUAUGUCCUAUAUAAUAUCUCACAUUCGAUUCUAGCCGUUCUCCGGAAAUCAUUCAAUCUCUCCUUUAAAUCUUUAGACCUGCGCCGCACGUGCGCCACCGGUACAGGUUGACUAAUGUUUCCUAUUUAUUAAUAGGAUAUGGUUUCAUUCGAUACAAAUAAGAUAAAUUUGUAUUUUGGGUAUGCUUAGAAAAAUAUUUAGUGAAAUAUUCAGUCGCCGUUAGGGAAAUGUUGGUUUAGGGUUUAUGGAUUAAGGGUUUAGUAGGGAAAUGUUUAGGUGCGGUUUAGGGAAAUGUUGGUUCAGGGUUCAGGAUUUAUGGAUUAAAGAUUUAGUAGGGAAAUGCUUAAGGUUUAUGGCUUAAUUUAACAGGAAAUAUUUCAUUUAUCUGGGAUAUGUGCCGCAUACACAAUGUUUAGUCAAAUGCUUGCUUUAUUUUAGAUAAGUUUCAACAAAAAAUGGUCAAUUUUCAUCUUUCAAUCACAUACAUACAAGUUUAAUCGUCUAAUCAGUAAAACUGAAACGCCAAGUGGAAUGUGUUUCUUUUGAUUCGUGCUCCACUACAGGUUCUGCGUCUCAAUGUCGAUCUACACCAAGACGAUGAACUUGGUCAUCUAACAUCGGCAUGCACACCUUCCCCCGAGCCACCGACCAUGUCACUCCUCACCAAUGACCGUGUGAGUCAUUACACAUUGGAAUCAAGUAACACCAAUAUUACAUCAAUUUUACUUGAGGUUUUUUUUUACUUUUAUGUUGUUUUAUGUUGACUUGAGUCGUUCGAUUAAAUCUACAAUCGGAAUCGUGUGGAAGCUCCUAUACAAGGUUUAAUGAUGCUUUUAUUUUUAUACAACAAUAUUACAUAGGUAUUUUGGAAAAAUUCCUAUAUGAUGCAAGUUUCUUUUCAUAUCUAUAUUGAAACAAUAGAACUCUAGAAAAAUAUCUAUAUUUGACUCAACAAUUACAAGUUUGUUUUUCGAGCUGACGAGUCGUGGAGAGCUACUUCUAUUAUUAUACUAGAAUGGUUACAAUAUCGUGACUUUGCAAAAAAACUAAUUAUAGACCAAAAUAAGAGAACAUGUUGACAAAAUGGGAAGGAUGGUCAAAGAUCAUAAGGUAACAGUGGGAUCCAUAUUAUAAUCUCAAACUUAUUUUCCCCUUUGGGCCUUUUACAAUUGACAUUUUGUAAUGUAGGAAGGAUCCAAACAACUUAUGGAGGAUGUGAAUACAUGAUAUAUAUGUUCGAUUAUGUCGAGCCUAAAAUUGUCCCAUCGACUCCAACUAAAGUCAUCAUAACUUCUCCUGUUGCUCCUGCUUCUCCAUCCAACAUAAAGAGGUCAAAGAUGCUGCACACAUGUACUAGUUGGUAGACGAAUUCAAACAUUGGUCAACAAUUGUGUAGGUUGCUGCAAGAAGACAAACAAAUAGUACAUGCCAUUUUCAAUAGUCUAAUGAAUCUGAAGAAGUGUACUAAAAACCUUAUGAGGUGUGGUUUUAAAGGCAAG
rnacentral:lncRNA from 1 species